rnacentral:rRNA from 1 species
AUUGAACGCUGGCGGCAGGCCUAACACAUGCAAGUCGAACGAGUGGCGGACGGGUGAGUAAUGUAUGGGAAACUGCCUGAUGGAGGGGGAUAACUACUGGAAACGGUAGCUAAUACCGCAUACCAUCGGAUGUGCCCAGAUGGGAUUAGCGAGUAGGUGGGGUAAAGGCUCACCUAGGGGACGAUCCCUAGCUGGUCUUAGAGGAUGACCAUCCACACUGGAACUGAGACACGGUCCAGACUCCUACGGUAGGCAUCAGUGGGGAAUAUUGCACAAUGGGCGAAAGCCUGAGGCAGCCAUGCCGCGUGUAUGAAGAAGGCCUUCGGGUUGUAAAGUACUUUCAGCGGGGAGGCGUUACCCGCAGAAGAAGCACCGGCUAACUCCGUGCCAGCAGCCGCGGUAAUAC